rfam:Schistosoma rodhaini strain Burundi genome assembly, scaffold: SROB_scaffold0003838
GAACUGCUGAGGAGUUCCACGAUAGGACGAAACGGCCGUCCAGUGC